UUAAUACUCCCUCCGUCCGGAAUUACUUGUCACAAAAAUGGAUAAAAUGGUUGUAUCUAGAACUAAAAUACGUCUAGAUACAUCCAUGUCUGUGACAAGUAAUUCCUGACGGAGGGAGUAGUCA
rfam:Hordeum vulgare subsp. vulgare, WGS project CAJW01000000 data, contig: morex_contig_136635